rnacentral:lncRNA from 1 species
GGACGAUCGGUAACACUUGAAACAGAAAUGGAUCAUUGGAGAGACAUACAUGCGACGUCUAGGCGAAGCAGCUUGAUGAUAUGGUUUGUAGCGUCCUUCUUCGUGGUGAAGAAGGCUGGAAGAGGGACGUCGCUCGGAGGCGGCGAGGUCAUGGUCACAGGACCGGCGUAAAACGGAACUACGGUGGUCUUCUUCGAUUUGCGGUCGGAGAGACGGAUCUGGCUCGGAAUCAGACACGGAUCUGGUCCGAUCCGCUGAGUAGAAACCAGAUCUGGCUUCUCCACGACCAGAUCUGUCUUCUCCACGACCAGAUUUGUCUUUUCCACGACCAAUUCUAAUGUCUUUUUAGGGAUCUCCUCGCCGCGCUUCAGGAUCCUAACCUGACCAACGACGACGUUUUUGGUGGGACUCUUCUCAACCGUUCCCUUUGGGACGUAAGAAGAGACGGCGGCGCGUUGAGGAGGAGGAGGCGGCGCUUUAGGAGGAGAUCUGGUUGUCUGAUUGCGCGGGGGGCUCCGGCGCGUGCGGUUUGGAACCGGCUUCUUCUGAUGCCUGUUGGGGCAUGCGGUGUGGUUACGAGGAUACUUCAUGUGGGAGAAAGGUUGUUUGAGACAGUCC